UGCCAGCCGCCGCGGUAAUACGGAGGGGGUUAGCGUUGUUCGGAAUUACUGGGCGUAAAGCGCACGUAGGCGGACUGGAAAGUUGGGGGUGAAAUCCCAGGGCUCAACCCUGGAACUGCCUCCAAAACUAUCAGUCUAGAGUUCGAGAGAGGUGAGUGGAAUUCCGAGUGUAGAGGUGAAAUUCGUAGAUAUUCGGAGGAACACCAGUGGCAAAGGCGGCUCACUGGGCCGGUACUGACGCUGAGGAGCGAAGGCGUGGGGAGCAAACAGGAUUAGAUA
rnacentral:rRNA from 1 species